rnacentral:rRNA from 1 species
GGAUUAGGCAUGCAAGUCGAGCGAGAAAGCUCCUUCGGGAGUGAGUAGAGCGGCGAAAGGGUGAGUAAUGAAUGGUUAACGUACCUUCGAGUGGGGGAUAGCCUCGGGAAACCGGGAUUAAUACCGCAUAAGACCACAGGCUCUUCGGGGCAAGAGGUCAAAGGCGCUUCGGCGUCGCUUGAAGAGCGGACCAUUUGAUAUCAGCUAGUUGGUGAGGUAACGGCUCACCAAGGCUUCGACGUCUAGCCGGUCUGAGAGGAUGGUCGGCCACACCGGGACUGAGACACUGCCCGGACACCUACGGGUGGCUGCAGUCGAGAAUCAUUGUCAAUGCGCGAAAGCGUGAACGUGCGACGCCGCGUGUGGGAAGAAGGUGUGAUGCAUCGUAAACCACUGUCAGGGGGUAUGAAUAAGCGUGUUAAUACCACGUGAUGACGUCAACCCCAAAGGAAGUCGCAGCUAACUCCGUGCCAGCAGCUGCGGUAAUACGGAGGCGGCAAACGUUACUCGGAAUCACUGGGCUUAAAGGGCGUGUAGGCGGCAUGUUAAGUUGGAGUUGAAAGCUGACGGCUCAACCGUCAAAUUGGCCCCAAUACUAACAUGCUAGAGUCGCGGAGGGGUUGCUGGAACUUGUGGUGUAACGGUGGAAUGUAUAGAUAUCACGAGGAACACCAAUGGCGAAGGCAGGCAACUGGCCGAUGACUGACGCUGAGGCGCGAAAGCUAGGGGAGCAAACAGGAUUAGAUACCCUGGUAGUCCUAGCCGUAAACGAUGUGCACUAGGGAGGGGAGGCUCCAUGUCUUCCCUCCCCAAGCGAAAGCGAUAAGUGCACCGCCUGGGGAGUAUGCUCGCAAGGGUAAAACUCAAAGGAAUUGACGGGGGCUCACACAAGCGGUGGAGCAUGUGGUUUAAUUCGAUGCAACGCGAAGAACCUUACCAAGGCUAGACAUCUAUCCUAACCUGACCGAAAGGACAGGGUGCUUCGGCCGGAUAGUGCAGGUGUUGCAUGGCUGUCGUCAGCUCGUGUCGUGAGAUGUUAGGUUAAGUCCUUCAACGAGCGAAACCCUUACCGAUCAGUUGCCAGCGGGUAAAGCCGGGGACUCUGACGGGACUGCCACGUAAGUCGGAGGAAGGUGGGGACGACGUCAAGUCAUCAUGGCCCUUACGCCUUGGGCUACACACGUGCUACAAUGGGCUGGUACAGAGGGUUGCCAACCCGCAAGGGGGAGCUAAUCCCAGAAAGCCAGCCCCAGUUCGGAUUGGAGUCUGCAACUCGACUCCAUGAAGUCGGAAUCGCUAGUAAUCGCGGGUUCAGCCAUACCGCGGUGAAUAUGUUCCUGAGCCUUGUACACCACCGCCCGU